CCUACGGGGGGCAGCAGUGAGGAAUAUUGGUCAAUGGGCGGAAGCCUGAACCAGCCAAGUCGCGUGCGGGAAUAAGGCCCUACGGGUCGUAAACCUCUUUUGUCGGGGAGCAAAAGCCGGACGUGUCCGGCUGUGAGAGUACCCGACGAAAACGCAUCGGCUAACUCCGUGCCAGCAGCCGCGGUCAUACGGAGGAUGCGAGCGUUAUCCGGAUUUAUUGGGUUUAAAGGGUGCGCAGGCGGAUUGUUAAGUCAGCGGUCAAAUCGUGGGGCUCAACCCCAUCCAGCCGUGGAAACUGGGGAUCUAGAGUGUGCGAGAGGUAUGCGGAAUGCGUGGUGUAGCGGUGAAAUGCAUAGAUAUCACGCAGAACCCCGAUUGCGAAGGCAGCAUACCGGUGCACAACUGACGCUCAGGCACGAAAGCGUGGGUAUCGAACAGGAUUAGAUACCCCUGUAGUC
rnacentral:rRNA from 1 species